rnacentral:rRNA from 1 species
GAUGAACGCUGGCGGCGUGCCUAAUACAUGCAAGUCGAGCGGACGGACGAGAAGCUUGCUUCUCUGAUGUUAGCGGCGGACGGGUGAGUAACACGUGGAUAACCUACCUAUAAGACUGGGAUAACUUCGGGAAACCGGAGCUAAUACCGGAUAAUAUUUUGAACCGCAUGGUUCAAAAGUGAAAGACGGUCUUGCUGUCACUUAUAGAUGGAUCCGCGCUGCAUUAGCUAGUUGGUAAGGUAACGGCUUACCAAGGCAACGAUGCAUAGCCGACCUGAGAGGGUGAUCGGCCACACUGGAACUGAGACACGGUCCAGACUCCUACGGGAGGCAGCAGUAGGGAAUCUUCCGCAAUGGGCGAAAGCCUGACGGAGCAACGCCGCGUGAGUGAUGAAGGUCUUCGGAUCGUAAAACUCUGCUAUUAGGGAAGAACAUAUGUGUAAGUAACUGUGCACAUCUUGACGGUACCUAAUCAGAAAGCCACGGCUAACUACGUG